rnacentral:ncRNA from 2 species
GCCAAUCAAUGGUCUUAUGGUUCUCGUAUCCGGAGCCGGAUCGGGAUUAAAAGGGAACACGGUGCGGCGUAGCCAAAAGGCACCAAGUCCGUGACUGCCCCCGCAACUGUGAGCGGUGAGCAAACCUGAAAGCGCCACUGGGGAGACCCCGGGAAGGAUCAGGCAAGCCAUGACCCGCAAGUCAGGAGACCUGCCAUUUCAUCACAAACUUC